rnacentral:rRNA from 1 species
AGCGAACGCUGGCGGCAGGCCUAACACAUGCAAGUCGAACGGAUCCUUCGGGAUUAGUGGCGGACGGGUGAGUAACACGUGGGAACGUGCCCUUUGGUUCGGAACAACUCAGGGAAACUUGAGCUAAUACCGGAUGUGCCCUUCGGGGGAAAGAUUUAUCGCCAUUGGAGCGGCCCGCGUCUGAUUAGCUAGUUGGUGGGGUAAAGGCCCACCAAGGCGACGAUCAGUAGCUGGUCUGAGAGGAUGAUCAGCCACAUUGGGACUGAGACACGGCCCAAACUCCUACGGGAGGCAGCAGUGGGGAAUCUUGCGCAAUGGGCGAAAGCCUGACGCAGCCAUGCCGCGUGAAUGAUGAAGGUCUUAGGAUUGUAAAAUUCUUUCACCGGGGGCGAUAAUGACGGUACCCGGAGAAGAAGCCCCGGCUAACUUCGUGCCAGCCGCCGCGGUAAAAC